GCACAACAGAGAAAAAUGAUUCCCCAUUUUUUGAAUGGAAAGUAAUUUUCUCAAGCCUCAUUCUUUUGAGAGAGUCCAACUGAUUUUUAAUAUUUUUCUACCGACUUUUAUCGUCAUACCAAACAAUAGAAAAUAACUUAUUUUUUAUAAAAAUAUUUUUCACAGAUAAAUGGAGACUAAAUUAUCUAAUUGAAUAAAUUGAUAUCAAUUUACCCAUGUUUAAUCAUGCUAUUUAUGUCGCGCAGACCUCCGGUUUCCACUUUCUAUUUUAUUCUCUACGCUCUUGGGCUGCAAAUAAACUUUACAUUAAGGCCACCAAGACUGCCCUUCACCAGACCCUGCAUCAUGUCGUUGCCUAAACAAUGACAAAAAGUUCAUGUACAUGAGUUAUCGAGGGUUCUAGGGUAACAAACCCUACUGAGAGAUACACAAAGAAAUCAUAGAAUAUCCACAUCAAGCCAGUCCCAUGGCAAUGCAGAAACCCACAUGAAAAAACAAGAUAGCCGGGUAUAGGUAUCACAAGCAAAUUAAGUCAUUUUAGGAAAACACAAGUCUUCAAGGUUGCAUGCAAACACUGUAAAAUACUCAGGCCUUCCAACAUAGGUAACAUAACAUGUCAUUACCCAAGCCAGGUAGACGAGAUAUUUAAUAUUCACACGAACCAAUCAUUUAUGCAGAUAAGUAGCGAGUCAUCCAGCUUUUAAAGCGAGACCAUGCUAGCUCAACUGCUGCUUCAUCCCCAUCAGGCAUUCCCAUGCUCUUUCCCCUCUCAAUGCCUUCUUUAGACCUGUUCAUGAAAGCGUGUGCAUUGCCAGGAUAAAUGUGUACCUCACAAGGAAUUCCUGAUGCCUUCAGCUUUUCGUCUAAAGCCUUAGCAGCUGUCACAUCUGAAAAACCAACAAAGUCAUCGAGCUCUCCAAAGUGAGCCUGAACAGGUGCCUUUGCCUGGGCAGGGUCUGCAAGCUCUGAUGAAGGAACACCAUAAAAUGCGACAACAGCAUCAAUCUCUGGGACCAAAACAGAACUUGCAAUUGAAAGAGCACCUCCCAUGCAAAAUCCAGUAACUCCUACCUUCUGUGAACCAUUAGCCUUAAGCCAAUUAACUGAAGCACGGAUAUCCUUAACAGCGCCUUGCCAGUCAAGACCUUCCAUCAAAUGUUGAGCUUCAGCAACAUCCAAGCCUACCUUUCCUCGAUACAAAUCAGGGAUAAGAGCCUUAAAUCCAGGGUCUAGUUGGGAUAUUUUCACAGCAUGGUUCUUGAUCUCAAAAUCCACACCCCACCACUCUUGAAGCACAACAAUCCCAGGAGCAUCUUCUUUGCCCACCACGUACGCAUCAAAAGUCUGAUCAAAAGAUUCAAGGAAAGGAAAAGAGAAUCUAAGAAUGGAACCAUCAUCAAGAAUUUAGUUCAAAGGUAACAUUGUGUGUGUGCCUUUGAAUAUGUUAUCAUAAACCCAAACCAAGGUGUAUAUUUGCUUCUUUUGUUGUGGAAUUUUAAGUUCAACCAAUUUCUUGUCUAAAUAUAACAAUAAAGCCCGCCAUUUUAAAUUGCAUAAAUUACGAAAGGUACAAACGAACAAUAGAAGAAUACAUCAUACAGUUGACGGAUCCAAAAAAACUUCUUCAAAAUCACUACAAAUUUACAAAAGGAUCAUUUCAGGACUAGAACGAGAACAACUAAAUACACAAUCAAUUGCCAAAAUCCAAUAAAAUAACAGAAACCCUUCAACCGAAGCCUCACAAAAAACCCAAAAAGGAAAAAAAAAGGAUGAAAGAAAAACUUAACAGUAUCGUCUCUAUGGAUUGCGAUUUUUUUGAAGGGGGCAGAGGCAGAGUCAGCCAUUGCACGAACUUGAAACCGGGAAGCGGAGAGAGGAAGAGAAAAUGGCCGCAGAAAAGAGAAAGUGGUGGGAGGUUUAUGUAGAGUAGUUGGGGUGAAAACUCGCGUAGCCGAUGAUGGUGACAGUAUAGCUGCUAGCAUUUCUUUGCCGUUAUCACACUGAACCUCUGCGUUUUAUAUUGGAAAAUGUCAAAGACCCAAUUUUGCCUCUUCUUGGCCAGGCAUGAAUUGGCGAGGUUUAUGUAGAGUAC
rnacentral:misc_RNA from 1 species